rnacentral:rRNA from 1 species
GAAGCAUGACCGUAAGGACAUGUGGACAGUAUGGGAGUGAGAAUGUUGGCAUGAGUAGCGAGAUGUGGGUGAGAAUCCCACAGGCCGUAAACCCAAGGUUUCCAGGGGAAGGUUCGUCCGCCCUGGGUUAGUCGGGACCUAAGCUGAGGCCGAAAGGCGUAGGUGAUGGACAACAGGUUGAUAUUCCUGUACUACCGAUAACCGUUUGAGAGAAGGGAUGACACAGUAGGAUAAGCUAAGCACACUGUUGGUUAUGUGUGCCCAAGCAUUGAGGCAGUCAAAGUAGGCAAAUCCGCUUUGAUAAUGCUGGGAUGUGAUGGGGAGCGAAAUUUAGUAGCGAAGUAGCUGAUUUCACACUGUCAAGAAAAGUCUCUAUCGAGGUUAAAGGUACCCGUACCGCAAACCGACACAGGUGGGUGAGGAGAGUAUCCUAAGGCCAGCGAGAGAACUGUUGUUAAGGAACUCGGCAAAAUGACCCCGUAACUUAGGGAUAAGGGGUGCCACCAUCAGGUGGCCGCAGAGAAUAGGCCCAAGCGACUGUUUACCAAAAACAUAGGUUUCUGCUAAGUCGCAAGACGAUGUAUAGGAGCUGACGCCUGCCCGGUGCUGGAAGGUUAAGGGGAUCUGUUAGAGCAAUCGAAGCAGUGAACUUAAGCCCCAGUAAACGGCGGCCGUAACUAUAACGGUCCUAAGGUAGCGAAAUUCCUUGUCGGGUAAGUUCCGACCCGCACGAAAGGCGUAACGAUUUGGGCACUGUCUCAACAACAGACUCGGUGAAAUUGUAAUUCCGGUGAAGAUGCCGGAUACCUGCGACAGGACGGAAAGACCCCAUGGAGCUUUACUGUAGCUUGACAUUGGGUCUUGGUACUACAUGUACAGGAUAGGUGGGAGGCUUUGAAACCAGGACGCCAGUUUUGGCGGAGCCAUCCUUGGGAUACCACCCUUGUAGUACUGGGACUCUAACCAUAGGCCAUGAAUCUGGUCUUGGGACACUGUCAGGUGGGCAGUUUGACUGGGGCGGUCGCCUCCCAAAAGGUAACGGAGGCGCUCAAAGGUUCUCUCAGUACGGUCGGAAAUCGUACGUAGAGUGUAAAGGCAAAAGAGAGCUUGAUUGCAAGACAUACAGGUCGAGCAAGGAUGAAAAUCGGACUUAGUGAUCCGGUGGUUCUGCGUGGAAGGGCCAUCGCUCAACGGAUAAAAGCUACCCUGGGGAUAA